GACAGAGGCCUCAAGCGUUAGGCGGAAUCACUGGGCUUAAAGCGUGUGUAGGCGGAUCGUUAAGUGUCUUGUGAAAUCCCACGGCUCACCCGUGGAACUGCUGGGCAUACUGGCGAUCUUGGGCCAACUAGGGGCAACUGGAACAAGCGGUGGAGCGGUGAAAUGCGUAGAUAUCGCCUGGAACGCCGAAGGUGAAAACAGGUUGCUGGGGUUGUGCCGACGCUGAGACACGAAAGCCAGGGGAGCAAACGGG
rnacentral:rRNA from 1 species